rfam:Sus scrofa chromosome 3.
UCCUUGGUGGUCUAGUGGUUAGGAUGCAGCGCUCUCACCACUGUGACCCAGGUUCAAUCCCUGAUCUGGGAA